rnacentral:rRNA from 1 species
AAUGAACGCUGGCGGCGUGCCUAAUACAUGCAAGUCGAGCGAACAGACGAGGAGCUUGCUCCUUUGACGUUAGCGGCGGACGGGUGAGUAACACGUGGGUAACCUACCUAUAAGACUGGGAUAACUUCGGGAAACCGGAGCUAAUACCGGAUAAUAUUUCGAACCGCAUGGUUCGAUAGUGAAAGAUGGCUCUGCUAUCACUUAUAGAUGGACCGCGCCGUAUUAGCUAGUUGGUAAGGUAACGGCUUACCAAGGCAACGAUACGUAGCCGACCUGAGAGGGUGAUCGGCCACACUGGAACUGAGACACGGUCCAGACUCCUACGGGAGGCAGCAGUAGGGAAUCUUCCGCAAUGGGCGAAAGCCUGACGGAGCAACGCCGCGUGAGUGAUGAAGGUCUUCGGAUCGUAAAACUCUGUUAUUAGGGAAGAACAAACGUGUAAGUAACUGUGCACGUCUUGACGGUACCUAAUCAGAAAGCCACGGCUAACUACGUG